UACGUAGGGCGCAAGCGUUGUCCGGAAUUAUUGGGCGUAAAGAGCUCGUAGGCGGUUUGUCGCGUCUGUCGUGAAAAGCCCCACGGCUUAACUGUGGGUCUGCGGUGGAUACGGGCAGACUAGAGGCAGGUAGGGGGAGACUGGAAUUCCAUGUGUAGCGGUGAAAUGCGUAGAGAUAGUGGAGAACCACCAGUGGCGAAGGCGGCUUCUGGUCUGUAACUGACACUGAGGCGCGAAAGCGUGGGGAGCAAACAGGAUUAGAACUACC
rnacentral:rRNA from 1 species